AUGUCAGCCAUGUCUGUGUGCAAACACUUGGUCACAUACUCCUUCCAGGGCUGCCUGGCAAGGAGCCGCAGCACUAGGAGCAGAGAGAAGAUGCACACAGUCGCUAGCAGCCAGGACCCAGACACCAGGACCAUGGCAAGUGGCAACCCAAGAAAGAGCAGAAUGGUUCGGGGCAGCGUCAGCACGUGGCCGAAGGUGGCGGGAAUGUGCUCCUCCAUGCCCCUUGUGAUCAAAUCCAGUACCUUUUGUGGUCGCUGUCCUGGUACUGGCGGAUGUGAUAAGGAGCCAUGGGAGACUGCUGGGUGUCAAGUCUCGGCAUCUGGGAGAGAUGGCUCUACCUGCCUGCACACCUUCCCUGAGCCCUGCAGAAGAGAAAAGCAUACAAAGGAAUGCUUCAGAAAUUCCCACUGCAAGUCACAGCUGCUCCUGCUACACAGGGAGUGCUCUGAGGUACAUACAUCUUUUUUUUUACUUCUCAAAAAAGACUUUUAUUUUUAAAAAUUUUAGAUUUAUAGAAGUAUUAUGAAGACAGAAAAGGGCCUUUUAGUUUAUUUGUACUUGAACACCUCAGAAUUUUCUACAUAUGGAAUUAUAUCAUAUGCAAAUAAUGAGAGUGUUAAUUAUGUUUUCAAAAUCUUAUUUCUGUAGUAACUGCACCACACUACUGUCUCAUCAGUGACACUUGUCAUUUGUUUCUUGGUGAUAAUCCU
rnacentral:lncRNA from 1 species